GGUCUCUGUGUCGGGCGUCUGUCUGCCCGCAUGCCUGCCUCUCUGUUGCUCUGAAGGAGGCAGGGGCUGGGUCUGCAGCUGCCUGGGCAGAGCGG
rnacentral:pre_miRNA from 1 species